rnacentral:lncRNA from 1 species
GGACACUCAGUGUUGACGUCCAGGCGUUUGGCAGUUACUUCGCUGUAGAAGCCAAUGCUCAACGGUGGGCGUGAUACUCAAAUUCUUCCUUCAGCUUUGGCGCUUGAGCGUUUGACAGAGAAUCCUUCAGCAAAGCUGGCGCUCAACACUGCCCUGGCGCUCAACGGUGGCUGCGUUUCUUCAUUUGUGUACUUCUCCAUGUUUUCUUGAGU